rnacentral:lncRNA from 1 species
GUUCUGUCUAUUCUAUGUAUUAGGUUUAUUGUGAUUAAUAAUUUGACUGGACGUGACAAUUGAAGGAGAAAAUGGAAGUGAUAUUGUACACGUUUGAAUCGUAGCAUUGUAUGAAGUAGCCCAGAUCAGAUACAGUUUUGAAGUUUCAAUAUGCUGGAACAUUUGAUUGAGGAGUUAGAAAAGAUUCUAUACGAAACCAGCAAACUAAAGGAUGAUUUGAAUAACAGCUGUGAAAGGGGUUGGAGUUUACUUUGCCCUUCUGGAUCCCAAAUCAAUGGAUUUAAAAUUCAGAAAGAACUGCCGCCUUCUGAUAAAGAUGAAAGCUCUAAUGCAAGCAACAUUUCACCCUCACUGGGAGGUGUAUUUGAUAAAGUUACAGAAUUAAUAACUUACGGAAAGGAGUUGCGAAACUCUGCAAAACUGGAAAAUAAAAAAUCAAGUUCAAAUGUUACUUUAAAUGUUAAAGGAGAUUUACGGAAUCAGCCACAACUAAAUAAAUCCAAAAUUACUUUGACCAAAUCUGGAUCAAAUUCUAUUCCAGUAGCACCAAGAGGGGGACACAAAGUAAAUAGAUGUAAUUUUAAAAGUAAAAAAAGUUGCAGAUCCAAAACAUUCUUCAGAUACUUUAACAAGUGACAAAAACUCUUCAUGAUCUUCCAUUGUCUUCUUCUGAAAUCAGAAACAGUGUUAGUAUUUCAAAUGCCGAGGAUCAAGAAUGCCCUGACAACGUCACAAAAACAUACUUGCUGAAAGAUAAUCAGAUGUUAACUAAGGAUAGUAAUAAUGGUAGUGCUCUAACUCCUAAGUAUUCCCAUACAUGCUCUGUAACUUUAUCCGACUUGGUAAAAACACUGAAAAUGCCUGAAGAUAUGCAUCACUUGCUGAAAUGCUACUUUCAAUAUCAAAAUUAUAAGUUAAAACGUCAUGUUAACAAAGAAGAACAUAACUCUCUUGACUUUUCAAAAAGAAUAAAUAAUUUAGCAAAGCUUAAACUUGGAAUUGAUUUGAGAACAAAUGUAAAAGAAAGAGACAGACAUAUGAAAUAUUUGGAUGUUGCUGAUGAAGUUUGUAGAAGCGGAAAAGCAAGGACUGUUUUAGAUAGAUCUUCCAUUAUUUGGUACCAGUCUAAAGAACAGUUAUGCUCAUAUGAAGUUAAGUGCCAGCAGUUGUUGGAGCUACAAUUACAGAGAAGACUGAUGGCAGUUCUUGAAACGUGUUUAAAGUAAUUUACCGACACAACUGAUACACUGUAAAUACUAAAUUUACUACAGCUCAGUAAUUUUAAAAUAUAUUUCUAUCAACUAUGUACAGCUAAAUAAAAUUAUUGCAUUAUAUUUUUUUAGGAGUAUUAAAUAUAAACGGUUUUGUAACAGUAAA